GGUCGAAGUGGCGAGUUCGAUUCCCGCGUGGUGCGGAGUAACCCCGAGUAAAGAGCGAACCGGGACGAGCAAGACGGGUGAGUGGGAAUGGACCUUCCAAAGGAAGUCAUUUGAGAUAAAAGCUGGACUAUUGACCUUCACUUCUUAGAACAAUACGAUAAGCCUGACUCCUGGUGGUCUUUUGGGACUUCCAAUAAAUGGACAAAGACCAUGAGUAAGACUGGGCAUUAAGUCACCCUUAGCUAUAUUGAUGUUGAAGUAUUAUUUCCUCACUUAUUCUGACACCAUCCAAGGGAAGCCCUGAAUUGUACAAAGUCCCAAUAAGACCAGCCUGGCAGCAGCUGGAAACAGACUGUAGAAGCAGGGAAGGGAUCAGCGAUGGAAGCAGCCAAUGUUAUGCUGAUAUAUUUUCCUGAUAAUUCCUCGAUGGAGGAGUACUUUGAAUUAACAUUAGUAAAAGACCCAACAACAAACCCCAGAUCCAACAGCGCAUGCACCUUGCAUGAGCAAAAAGGCAGUGUUGCUUGCACUGCAACACUGCAACCACCAUCUUAUCUUUUUUUUAGAUUUUUUUUAAUCCCACCUUUAUUAUUUGUGUAAAUAACUCAAGGCAGCAAACACACACAAAAUUCUUUCCUCCUUUUAUUUUCCCCACAACAGUAACCCUGUGAUGUGAGUUGACCCGAGAGAGUGAGAAGCCCAAAGUCACCAGCCUGGUGCUUUAACCACUAGACUGAACUGACCAAACCCUGUUCCUUGAGGUGCUGUUGCCUGGAUCUGGAAUUUGAUGGAUACCAGUGUCAAAAUCACCAAUAUUUCCAGCCCCUGGUUAAAAUGAUUUUUUAUUUAAAAUAA